AGUUUAACACUGCCUUUGCCGGUCCCAAGCCCGGAUGAGAAAAUGUGGAGGGAACU
ncrna:unclassified sequences type-P1 twister ribozyme